AGAAGAUCUUGAUUGUUUACAGGUGAAAACGAGACCCCACUACUACUGACAGCUGGAGCAUGUUGUUGUUGCUGCUGCUGCGGACGAUAAGAUGAAUAAUUUCCCCCCAAGUUGAAUCCAGCAGACCUGCCCAUAGGGAAGUGCUGAGAUUGCAUCAUUGACAUGCUGUUGUCAUGCAGUUGUUCUUUCUGAUGCAAAUCCAUAGUGUAAUCAGCAUUACCACCUUUAAAUCCAGGUAGAGCUGGAAAGUCUUCAUUCUGGAUGCUGAACUCUUGGUUUUGUUGAACAAUGGGGCUGACUCCAAGACCUUGUUUCCGUAACGAACC
rnacentral:misc_RNA from 1 species